AACGAACGCUGGCGGCAUGCCUAACACAUGCAAGUCGAACGAGACCUUCGGGUCUAGUGGCGCACGGGUGCGUAACGCGUGGGAACCUGCCCUUAUGUUCGGAAUAACUCCCCGAAAGGGGUGCUAAUACCGGAUAAUGUCUUCGGACCAAAGAUUUAUCGCCUUUGGAUGGGCCCGCGUUGGAUUAGCUAGUUGGUAGGGUAAAAGCCUACCAAGGCGACGAUCCAUAGCUGGUCUGAGAGGAUGAUCAGCCACACUGGGACUGAGACACGGCCCAGACUCCUACGGGAGGCAGCAGUGGGGAAUAUUGGACAAUGGGCGAAAGCCUGAUCCAGCAAGGCCGCGUGAGUGAUGAAGGCCUUAGGGUUGUAAAGCGCUUUUACCCGGGAUGAUAAUGACAGUACCGGGAGAAUAAGCUCCGGCUAACUCCGUG
rnacentral:rRNA from 1 species